CAGACUCGAUGGGCUGAAGGGCCUCUUCUGCACUGUGAGAUUCUGUGAUUCUGAAACCCAACUGCACGGACCCUCCAUUAUCCAGCAGAAAGAAGGAGAACGGGAUUUGGUGGAAAAUAGAGAGUCGCCAAAGAGACGCAAUAACAACAGAAUCCAAUCCCUACAGUCACAUAUGAACUUACUGGUGCCCCAGCAGGCGGGAAGAACAACUGAAUCGCUGCCCACAAACACAACAUUUAAAAAGCCUCUCUCUACCAGGCCGCACCUACAAACUGGUCUCUCGCAUUUCCAGUGAAGUGGAGGAAGUUUGCUUUCAUAAACCAGCAACUGCGAUAAAGACGAAGCAGGAUGGAGAAAGACUCAGUUGGAGCACAGUGACACAGUGGAUGAAUGGAGAGCUGGGAUUCACCCAUGAAAACAGCAAAGUUUUUAAAAAAAGCAACAGCACCCAAAGUGGGGCUUGAACCCACAAACCUGAGGUUACAGGCCUCAUGCACUACUGACUCUGCUAGCCAGAAGCUCAAGGGACUGAUGCUUUCUAUUCAAUCAUUCACAGCUUCCCUUUCUUAUCUGCACCUCCUUCCAAACACUGUGAUUCAUUUUCCUCAGGAUUUGUUCCUGGAUUUAAUAUUUAUCCGCUAUGUGACCUUAUUUUGAGAUCUGAUUCUCUUCAAUCUCCAACACAAAUUGAGUUGCAAACCUGUCGGACAAACAAUGGAAAACAAGUCAGUUGGUAACACAAAUCCCAUGGUACUCAUUUUCAGAUUCACAAAGUCAACUUUUAAAUAAAAGGAAGGAAUUUUGCAGUGAA